UACGGAGGGUGCGAGCGUUGUCCGGAAUCAUUGGGGUCGUAAAGGGCGCGUAGGUGGCCCGGUCAGUCUUUGGUGAAAGUCGCGGGGCUCAAACCCUGCGUCGGCCAGGGAUACUGCCGCGGCUCGAGCACUGUAGGGGCAGAUGGAAUUCCGGGUGUAGCGGUGGAAUGCGUAGAGAUCCGGAAGAACACCGGUGGCGAAGGCGGUCUGCUGGGCAGUUGCUGACACUGAGGCGCGACAGCGUGGGAGCAACAGG
rnacentral:rRNA from 1 species